rnacentral:rRNA from 2 species
UUCGGGGUGGCCAGAAAUGGCACAAAACAGAGAUUAAACUAAAGAGUUUGAUCCUGGCUCAGAUUGAACGCUGGCGGCAUGCCUUACACAUGCAAGUCGAACGGCAGCAUAGGAGCUUGCUCCUGAUGGCGAGUGGCGAACGGGUGAGUAAUAUAUCGGAACGUGCCCUAGAGUGGGGGAUAACUAGUCGAAAGAUUAGCUAAUACCGCAUACGAUCUACGGAUGAAAGUGGGGGAUCGCAAGACCUCAUGCUCCUGGAGCGGCCGAUAUCUGAUUAGCUAGUUGGUGGGGUAAAAGCUCACCAAGGCGACGAUCAGUAGCUGGUCUGAGAGGACGACCAGCCACACUGGGACUGAGACACGGCCCAGACUCCUACGGGAGGCAGCAGUGGGGAAUUUUGGACAAUGGGGGCAACCCUGAUCCAGCAAUGCCGCGUGAGUGAAGAAGGCCUUCGGGUUGUAAAGCUCUUUUGUCAGGGAAGAAACGGUUGCAGCUAAUAUCUGCGACUAAUGACGGUACCUGAAGAAUAAGCACCGGCUAACUACGUGCCAGCAGCCGCGGUAAUACGUAGGGUGCAAGCGUUAAUCGGAAUUACUGGGCGUAAAGCGUGCGCAGGCGGUUGUGUAAGACAGAUGUGAAAUCCCCGGGCUCAACCUGGGAAUUGCAUUUGUGACUGCACGGCUAGAGUGUGUCAGAGGGGGGUAGAAUUCCACGUGUAGCAGUGAAAUGCGUAGAUAUGUGGAGGAAUACCGAUGGCGAAGGCAGCCCCCUGGGAUAACACUGACGCUCAUGCACGAAAGCGUGGGGAGCAAACAGGAUUAGAUACCCUGGUAGUCCACGCCCUAAACGAUGUCUACUAGUUGUCGGGUCUUAAUUGACUUGGUAACGCAGCUAACGCGUGAAGUAGACCGCCUGGGGAGUACGGUCGCAAGAUUAAAACUCAAAGGAAUUGACGGGGACCCGCACAAGCGGUGGAUGAUGUGGAUUAAUUCGAUGCAACGCGAAAAACCUUACCUACCCUUGACAUGGAUGGAAUCCCGAAGAGAUUUGGGAGUGCUCGAAAGAGAACCAUCACACAGGUGCUGCAUGGCUGUCGUCAGCUCGUGUCGUGAGAUGUUGGGUUAAGUCCCGCAACGAGCGCAACCCUUGUCAUUAGUUGCUACGAAAGGGCACUCUAAUGAGACUGCCGGUGACAAACCGGAGGAAGGUGGGGAUGACGUCAAGUCCUCAUGGCCCUUAUGGGUAGGGCUUCACACGUCAUACAAUGGUACAUACAGAGGGCCGCCAACCCGCGAGGGGGAGCUAAUCCCAGAAAGUGUAUCGUAGUCCGGAUUGGAGUCUGCAACUCGACUCCAUGAAGUUGGAAUCGCUAGUAAUCGCGGAUCAGCAUGUCGCGGUGAAUACGUUCCCGGGUCUUGUACACACCGCCCGUCACACCAUGGGAGCGGGUUUUACCAGAAGUGGGUAGCCUAACCGCAAGGAGGGCGCUCACCACGGUAGGAUUCGUGACUGGGGUGAAGUCGUAACAAGGUAGCCGUAUCGGAAGGUGCGGCUGGAUCACCUCCUUUCU